rnacentral:rRNA from 1 species
GAUGAACGCUGGCGGCGUGCCUAAUACAUGCAAGUCGAGCGAACGGACGAGAGGCUUGCUUCUCUGAUGUUAGCGGCGGACGGGUGAGUAACACGUGGAUAACCUACCUAUAAGACUGGGAUAACUUCGGGAAACCGGAGCUAAUACCGGAUAAUAUUUUGAACCGCAUGGUUCAAAAGUGAAAGACGGUCUUGCUGUCACUUAUAGAUGGAUCCGCGCUGCAUUAGCUAGUUGGUAAGGUAACGGCUUACCAAGGCAACGAUGCAUAGCCGACCUGAGAGGGUGAUCGGCCACACUGGAACUGAGACACGGUCCAGACUCCUACGGGAGGCAGCAGUAGGGAAUCUUCCGCAAUGGGCGAAAGCCUGACGGAGCAACGCCGCGUGAGUGAUGAAGGUCUUCAGAUCGUAAAACUCUGUUAUUAGGGAAGAACAUAUGUGUAAGUAACUGUGCACAUCUUGACGGUACCUAAUCAGAAAGCCACGGCUAACUACGUG